rnacentral:ncRNA from 1 species
UGAGCCGUGUGCAGGGAAACUUGCAUGCACGGUUCUUAGGAGAGUGGUGAUUGGCAACAAUCGCCACUUAUCC